AGAGUUUGAUCCUGGCUCAGAAUGAACGCUGGCGGCGUGCUUAACACAUGCAAGUCGAACGAGAAAGGGAUUGCUUGCAAUCCUGAGUAGAGUGGCGCACGGGUGAGUAACACGUAGAUAAUCUACCUUCAAGCCCGGGAUAACUAUUCGAAAGGAUAGCUAAUACCGGACAAAGUUGUCUGGCAUAAGUCAGAUUAUGAAAGAUUGCCUCUUCUUGAAAGCAAUUGUUUGGAGAUGAGUCUGCGGACCAUUAGUUUGUUGGUGGGGUAAAGGCCUACCAAGACUGCGAUGGUUAGCUGGUCUGAGAGGAUGAUCAGUCACACUGGAACUGGAACACGGUCCAGACUCCUACGGGAGGCAGCAGUGAGGAAUAUUGGGCAAUGGAGGCAACUCUGACCCAGCCAUGCCGCGUGCAGGAAGACUGCCCUAUGGGUUGUAAACUGCUUUUAUAGAGGAAGAAACCCGUCCACGUGUGGACGGCUGACGGUACUCUACGAAUAAGGACCGGCUAACUCCGUGCCAGCAGCCGCGGUAAUACGGAGGGUCCAAGCGUUAUCCGGAAUCAUUGGGUUUAAAGGGUCCGUAGGCGGGCAAUUAAGUCAGAGGUGAAAUCCCACAGCUCAACUGUGGAACUGCCUUUGAUACUGGUUGUCUUGAGUAACAUUGAAGUAGAUAGAAUAUGUAGUGUAGCGGUGAAAUGCAUAGAUAUUACAUAGAAUACCGAUUGCGAAGGCAGUCUACUAAGUGUUUACUGACGCUGAUGGACGAAAGCGUGGGGAGCGAACAGGAUUAGAUACCCUGGUAGUCCACGCCGUAAACGAUGGUCACUAGUUGUUGGAUUUUAGGAUUCAGUGAUUAAGAGAAAUUGAUAAGUGACCCACCUGGGGAGUACGAUCGCAAGAUUGAAACUCAAAGGAAUUGACGGGGGCCCGCACAAGCGGU
rnacentral:rRNA from 1 species